UUGUCCCUGUUGGUCAGAAGGGUUCUGCUUUAGAUGCUUUCCCAACUUCUGAUCCACCACCUACUUCUGUCUCGCCACCAUUCUCCGUCGAACAAGAGCAAUGUGUAUGCUCCCCCUGAUCAACAAAAUCAAGGGACCAUAGAAAAUGCCUUUCCUUGAAACAAGGUAAAUAAGUGUUACCUUUACAGUUUCAGAUGAAUUCUACUUACUCUCCAAACCAGUUGGGGUAUACAAUUACUUGAAACAGUUGGCUACGAAUAAGGACUAAAGAAAAAUGAAUACUCUCUCUGCCGAGUGAUUAAUCAACAAUAGUAUGUAUCCUUUUGCUCAGGUGCCAUUCAGUUUCCUUUUUUCUUAUUUUCACUUAUUUUUCACCAACGUUGAUAUUUUUAAAUUAACCUUACAGUGUAACCUUCUUGCCUCCAAGGGCUUGCAAAUGAUGAUAAUUAUCAAGGAGCCGCUUCAAACUGAGCGG
rnacentral:lncRNA from 1 species